GGCGUGGCUCAGCCUGGUAGAGCGUCUGCUUUGGGAGCAGAAUGUCGCAGGUUCGAAUCCUGUCGCC
rnacentral:tRNA from 1 species